rnacentral:sRNA from 1 species
AACAACGGGGGAGGCUGGUAACCAAGGUGGGGGGGAUGGCGGAGCGGGCGCUGGAGCCCGAGGCGGAGGCUGAGGCGGGCGCGGGCGCGGGCGGGGAGGCAGCAGCCGAGGAGGGCGCAGCGGGCCGAAAGGCGCGGGGCCGGCCGCGACUCACGGAGUCGGACCGGGCCCGGCGACGGCUCGAGUCCCGGAAGAAGUACGACGUGCGGCGCGUGUACCUGGGCGAGGCGCACGGGCCCUGGGUGGACCUGCGGCGCCGCAGCGGCUGGAGCGACGCCAAGCUCGCCGCCUACCUCAUCUCUCUGGAGCGCGGCCAGCGGAGCGGCCGCCACGGGAAGCCUUGGGAGCAGGUCCCCAAAAAGCCAAAGCGGAAGAAAAGGCGGCGACGCAACGUGAACUGCCUGAAGAACGUGGUGAUCUGGUACGAGGACCACAAGCACCGCUGCCCGUACGAGCCGCACCUGGCGGAGCUAGACCCUACUUUCGGCCUGUACACCACGGCCGUGUGGCAGUGCGAAGCUGGCCACCGCUACUUCCAGGACCUGCAUUCGCCCCUGAAGCCCCUCAGCGACUCAGACCCUGACAGUGACAAAGUGGGCAAUGGGCUGGUGGCUGGCAGCUCUGACUCAUCCAGCUCUGGCUCUGCCUCUGACUCUGAGGAGUCCCCUGAGGGCCAGCCGGUCAAGGCUGUGGCAGCGGCAGCGGCAGCGACGCCCACCAGCCCGGUGGGCAGCAGCGGGCUCAUCACUCAGGAGGGCGUGCACAUUCCCUUUGACGUCCACCACGUGGAAAGCCUGGCCGAGCAGGGUACCCCGCUGUGCUCCAACCCGGCAGGCAGUGGGCCUGAAGCCCUGGAGACAGUGGUGUGCGUGCCGGUGCCUGUGCAAGUGGGUGCGGGCCCCAGCGCCCUCUUUGAGAACGUGCCCCAGGAGGCCCUGGGUGAGGUGGUGGCCAGCUGCCCCAUGCCAGGCAUGGUGCCCGGCUCACAGGUGAUCAUCAUUGCGGGCCCUGGCUACGACGCUCUCACGGCCGAGGGCAUUCACCUCAACAUGGCAGCGGGCAGCGGUGCCCCCGGCAGUGGACUGGGCGAGGAGGUGCCCUGUGCCAUGAUGGAGGGUGUGGCAGCCUACACCCAGACAGAGCCCGAGGGUAGCCAGCCUAGCACCACGGACGCCACCGCAGUAGCGGGCAUCGAGACCAAGAAAGGUCUGGGGGACCUGUCAUGGCCUCUGGCCAGGGGUGGUUGGGCCUGGGAGGGGCCGGGCGAGGAAUGGCCCUCGAAGUGGGCACCUUGGCAGCCUUCGUCCCCUGCGGACACCACCCUGUGUCCACCCUGUAGAGAAGGAGGACCUGUGCUUGCUAAAGAAGGAGGAGAAGGAGGAGCCAGUAGCCCCGGAGCUGGCAACGUCGGUGCCUGAGAGCGCAGAGCCCGAGGCAGAGGCGGACGGGGAGGAGCUGGACGGCAGCGACAUGUCAGCCAUCAUCUAUGAAAUCCCCAAGGAGCCUGAGAAGAGGCGGCGGAGCAAGCGGUCGCGGGUGAUGGAUGCUGACGGCCUGCUCGAGAUGUUCCACUGCCCAUACGAGGGCUGCAGCCAAGUCUACGUGGCCCUCAGCAGCUUCCAGAACCACGUCAAUCUUGUGCAUCGGAAAGGAAAGACCAAAGUGUGCCCUCAUCCUGGCUGUGGCAAGAAGUUCUAUUUAUCCAACCACCUGCGGCGGCACAUGAUCAUCCAUUCAGGUGUCCGUGAAUUCACCUGCGAGACCUGCGGCAAGUCCUUCAAGAGGAAGAACCACCUGGAGGUACAUCGGCGCACCCACACCGGCGAGACCCCCCUGCAGUGCGAGAUCUGUGGCUACCAGUGCCGGCAGCGCGCGUCGCUCAACUGGCACAUGAAGAAGCACACUGCGGAGGUGCAGUACAACUUCACGUGCGAUCGCUGCGGGAAGCGCUUCGAGAAGCUGGACAGCGUCAAGUUCCACACGCUCAAAAGCCACCCGGAUCACAAGCCCACCUGA